UGAGGAACAUGACCUUCGGCGGGGGAUAGCCGGCCCAACGGCCGGGUAAUACCGCGUACGACCACAUGGGGACAUCCCUGAGUGGUGAAAGCAGCAAUGCGCCGAUGGAGUGCCUCGCGGCCUAUCAGCUUGUUGGUGAGGUAACGGCUCACCAAGGCGUCGACAGGUAGCUGGUCUGAGAGGAUGGCCAGCCACAUUGGGACUGAGACACGGCCCAGAUCCGUACGGG
rnacentral:rRNA from 1 species